UACGGGGGGGCAAGCGUUGUUCGGAAUUACUGGGCGUAAAGGGCUCGUAGGCGGCCAACUAAGUCGGACGUGAAAUCCCUCGGCUCAACCGGGGAACUGCGUCCGAUACUGGAUGGCUUGAGUUCGGGAGAGGGAUGCGGGAAUUCCAGGUGUAGCGGUGAAAUGACGUAGAUAUCUGGAGGAACACCGGUGGCGAAGGCGGCAUCCUGGACCGAC
rnacentral:rRNA from 1 species